GAUAAACGCUGGCGGCGUGCCUAAUGCAUGCAAGUCGCACGGGAACGCUUUCGGGCGUCGACCGUGGCGGACGGGUGAGGAACACGUGAGUAACCUGCCCUCAGCUUUGGGAUAAGCCCGGGAAACUGGGUCUAAUACCGGAUAGGAGCCUCGCCUGCAUGGGUGGGGUUGGAAAGUGUUUGCGGCUGGGGAUGGGCUCGCGGUCUAUCAGCUUGACGGUGGGGUGAUGGCCUACCGUGGCUUUGACGGGUAGCCGGCCUGAGAGGGUGUUCGGUCACACUGGGACUGAGAUACGGCCCAGACUCCUACGGGAGGCAGCAGUGGGGAAUUUUGCACAAUGGGCGGAAGCCUGAUGCAGCGACGCCGCGUGAGGGAUGACGGCCUUCGGGUUGUAAACCUCUUUCGCUGGGGACGAAGCCUCUCUUUUGGGGGGUGACGGUACCUGGAGAAGAAGCACCGGCCAACUACGUGCCAGCAGCCGCGGUGAUACGUAGGGUGCGAGCGUUGUCCGGAAUUAUUGGGCGUAAAGGGCUCGUAGGCGGUUUGUUGCGUCGGAAGUGAAAGCCCGGGGCUUAAUGUCGGGUUGGCUUUCGAUACGGGCAGGCUAGAGGUAGGCAGGGGAGAAUGGAAUCUCUGGUGUAACGGUGGAAUGUGCAGAUAUCAGAGGGAACACCGGUGGCGAAGGCGGUUCUCUGGGCCUUACCUGACGCUGAGGAGCGAAAGCGUGGGUAGCGAACAGGAUUAGAUACCCUGGUAGUCCACGCCGUAAACGUUGGGCGCUAGGUGUGGGGAGCUUCAUUGUUUUCCGUGCCGUAGCUAACGCAUUAAGCGCCCCGCCUGGGGAGUACGGCCGCAAGGCUAAAACUCAAAGGAAUUGACGGGGGCCCGCACAAGCGGCGGAGCAUGUUGCUUAAUUCGAAGCGACGCGAAGAACCUUACCUGGGUUUGACAUGCCGGGAAAUCCUGCAGAGAUGUGGGGUCCUUUUUGGGUCCGGUACAGGUGGUGCAUGGCUGUCGUCAGCUCGUGUCGUGAGAUGUUGGGUUAAGUCCCGCAACGAGCGCAACCCUUGUCCCAUGUUGCCAGCGGGUAAUGCCGGGGACUCGUGGGAGACUGCCGGGGACAACUCGGAGGAAGGUGGGGAUGAGGUCAAGUCAUCAUGCCCCUUAUGUCCAGGGCUGCAAACAUGCUACAAUGGCCGGUACGGUGGGUUGCGAGACUGUGAGGUGGAGCGAAUCCCUAAAAGCCGGUCUCAGUUCGGAUCGGGGUCUGCAACUCGACCCCGUGAAGUUGGAGUCGCUAGUAAUCGCGGAUCAGCAACGCCGCGGUGAAUACGUUCCCGGGCCCUGUACACACCGCCCGUCACGUCAUGAAAGUCGGUAACACCCGAAGCCCAUGGCCUAACCGCUCUUUGGAGUGGGGGGAGUGGUCGAAGGUGGGGCUGGCGAUUAGGAC
rnacentral:rRNA from 1 species